ensembl:miRNA
UGUACCCCUUUCUACACAGGUUGGGAUCAGUUGCAAUGCUGUGUGUGCCUGUAGUAUUGCACUUGUCCCGGCCUGUUGAGGUUGGUGGGGACA